UGACCCAUUUUCUCCACAUGGAGGUCAUUCUUCUGAUUUCAUCAUCCCUUUUGGAUGGCUGAAGAGAGAAAGGAAGGCGCUAGAUAUAUGUAUUCUGGUUUCUCACUUAGCACUGUGGUGGUUUGAACAUCAUUUUUGUGAUGUGGAGCCUUCUUGCUGCACUGACGCACACAGCCUCCUGCUUCCUUUGGAGCAGCGCCGGCUCGUGGCACCAAAGCUGAUGCCAUUGCUGCUCCAGCUGGGCAUAAAACAGAGGGAAUAAAAAGGAAAAACGAGAGCAUCUCUCCAGCACAGACAGACACGGGCAAAACGUCACAGCCCUGAGGAGGUACGUCAGCAUCAUGGGGUAGGGGACUUGGGCAGCAUAACCCCCUUCUCUCUUGGUCCCACCUGCUGGAGCC
rnacentral:lncRNA from 1 species